GUUGGGUCACAGUGAGGCAGUUGCUCCUUGGAGCUCAAGCAGGUCAGACAGGGCUGGUGUGCAGGAGGGUUGCCACAGCAAAGAGUGCCGGCAUAGACACUCAGCCAAAGGGAGGCUGCUCGUGUGAGACUGUCCUUUAGGAAGUGCUCAUACUUACUGCGUUAAUAGUCACGUCUCUUGGAAAUAUCUCUUUGGAAAAUUGUUGCUGUACGCUUGGCAUUGUUCUCCUCCCAAAGGAGCGUUGAUAUACUUGAAGAUCACUCGAGCAUUCACUCGCAAUCACAGCUUCUGCAACGGAGUCGUUUUUCUCUAACUAGGAGGGAGACCGUGGACUACAUCUUAAAAGCAGUCUUCCUUUUUUAAAUACUGUGUGAGGGACUUCUUCUGAAAGAGAAAUGUGUUCUGAGAAACAAGGGGGUCUCUGUAAUCUACAAAUCUGAACGAUCUCUCUAAAGACAGCAAUCCCCUGUCUUAUUCAUUACACACCUUCCAACUUCUGGAACAAAGGAAGCAAGAGGCCUACAGAAAACACUCUUCUUUAUUCUGCGUUCCAAAUUCACCUCCAGAGCAGGCCCAUCAUAUGCACUGAACGAGGCGGGGGAGACCUCUUCACUUCAUAUUCAUCUUCCUUGAUGGCUGAGAGUAGAAGACAGUCCCGACCUCCAGUGAACAUGGAGAGAGGAGAGUGUUGUUCUGCGGUAAUUCUUUGGUAUGCAUGAACAGCUCCCAUUAGCACCACGGUGGGGUGAAAAGAGGUCCGGGGCAUUGUUAUAUUACCGGGGACCAGCUUCAACUGGAGAGACUAUGGGAGUCCUGCAGCAGAAUGUCCCAUGGUUCAAAGGCUGGAGCACACCCCUGAGAGGUGGCAAACCCUCUCUCCUUCCCAGCCAGAGGGGGGUUCGCCCCCAUCCUAGGUGAAUAAACAAACUGCUG